rnacentral:rRNA from 1 species
UACAGAGGUCCCAAGCGUUGUUCGGAUUCACUGGGCGUAAAGGGUGCGUAGGCGGUCGGGUAAGUCUGAUGUGAAAUCCCACGGCUCAACCGUGGAACUGCUUGGUAUACUGGUCGUCUUGAGCCAUCUAGGGGCUGUCGGAACAAAUGGUGGAGCGGUGAAAUGCGUAGAUAUCAUUUGGAACGCCAAAGGUGAAAACAGACAGCUGGGGAUGUGCUGACGCUGAGACACGAAAGCCAGGGGAGCGAACGGG